GAUCAGGCACGUGUGGUGGAGCCGCUGAGAGAUGCUACAGGUGUCACGGCCCAUGAGGUGCUUGAGAUGGAGGGGGGAGGAGCUAUAUAUGAUGUUGUUGGCGACAACGAAUCUUCCCGGCUGCCAGUGUCGUGGAGGUGGUGUGCACGGAGCGGCAUUUGGGUCAGCACGUGCAGGCUUGUCCUCGUUGGUAGACACCACACACCACCGGGCCUUUUGUUCUAUGGCAUCUUUGCGGGAUGAUGCUGGUAAGGCGCAGAUACUUGCAUAUUUGCUGGUUACCAUUUUGGAUGGCUCCUGACCGCUGUACAUACUGUGGUCUUGAGUUGUUCCGUGGCUGUUCGUGGCGUAACGUUUGCUAUAUUUUAGUAUGC
rnacentral:lncRNA from 1 species